rnacentral:rRNA from 1 species
GAUGAACGCUGGCGGCGUGCCUAAUACAUGCAAGUCGAGCGAACAGACGAGGAGCUUGCUCCUCUGACGUUAGCGGCGGACGGGUGAGUAACACGUGGAUAACCUACCUAUAAGACUGGGAUAACUUCGGGACACCGGAGCUAAUACCGGAGAAUAUAUUGAACCGCAUGGUUCAUUAGUGAAAUACGGUUUUGCUGUCACUUAUAGAUGGAUCCGCGCCGCAUUAGCUAGUUGGUAAGGUAACGGCUUACCAAGGCAACGAUGCGUAGCCGACCUGAGAGAGUGAUCGCCCACACUGGAACGUAGACACGGUCCAGACUCCUACGGGAGGGAGCAGUAGGGAAUCGUCCGCAAAGGGGGAAAGCCUGACGGAGCAACGCCGCGUGAGUGAUGAAGGUCUUCGGAUCGUAAAACUCUGUUAUUAGGGAAGAACAAAUGUGUAAGUAACUAUGCACGUCUUGACGGUACCUAAUCAGAAAGCCACGGCUAACUACGUG